UCUUCAUACCGUCCUGAAUACAACCCAUCUCAUCUGAAUUCAGAAGUCCAGAAAGGUCUGGCCUAGUUCAUCCUUGGAUGGGAGACCUUCAGGGAACAUAAGGAAUCUCCAGAA
rnacentral:rRNA from 1 species